UACGGAGGAUGCGAGCGUUAUCCGGAUUUAUUGGGCUUAAAGGGUGCGUAGGCGGCCUGCCAAGUCAGCGGUAAAAUUGCGGGGCUCAACCCCGUACAGCCGUUGAAACUGCCGGGCUCGAGUGGGCGAGAAGUAUGCGGAAUGCGUGGUGUAGCGGUGAAAUGCAUAGAUAUCACGCAGAACCCCGAUUGCGAAGGCAGCAUACCGGCGCCCGACUGACGCUGAGGCACGAAAGUGCGGGGAUCAAACAGG
rnacentral:rRNA from 1 species